CGCAUCCGCCUCUCCUGACCAAAUGGCGGACGUCCCGCGUGGAUGCCCGGCACGCCGAUCCGAUGUCCGUUGAGACAUCCUCCAUUGCGGAUGCUGUUAGUGCUGUAGCUAAAGAUGCCAAUCUCCUGCCCGGACGGGCCAAAAUUGCGAUCCUCUUUCUAUAAGCUCAGUUUAUGCCUCCUUUCCCCACUCUCUCAAACCUGCGAAAACCCCACCUCCUACUCUCUCGCUUUUCACUCUAAUUUCACCAUAAUUCUUCCAUCUAAUCACAAAUUCCUCCUAACCCACAUACUAUACUUGCCAUUUUGGAAGAGAUUCACCGAUUAAUUUUGUUGAAUUUGUGGGUUUUGACCAAGAAUAGUUCUAAGAAGAGCAAUUUUUCGGUUUUUGCCUAAACAACAAAGGCAUGUUUUUUACCCCAUUCGUCAUUAUUAUGAACAAUUAUCUCAAUUGCCCCUACAUCAAUGAGUUAUACAAGUAAUGGAGUUAUUCCUGAAGAGAUCCCCAUGCGCAAUCAAUGAAUGAUGAAGAGCAACUCGCUAGUACAUUUGAGAGAGGCGAGGAGAGCAGACCGAGGAGGAGGGGAGGAAGAGACGCCUCAAUGGAGAAUUACAUGAGGGAGAUGGCCUCGAGCAUGACGAGACUCGAACUAAGCAUGCAGCAGGCUAGGGAGGAGCAGACCCAUUUUAUGCAAGGCAGGAGGACCUCAAGUGGCAAGCUGAACAGGAUACACGGUGGGCUCAGCAGGUGGCAUGGCAAGCCCAGCAGGUGGCAUGGCAAGCUGAGCAGAAGGCAUGGUGGGGCAAGAUGGAGGCUUACAUGGAGCAGCAACAAGCCAACUGGAAUGCAUACCGUGCGAACCAACAGUGGCAGCAAAAGAUGGAGCAGAGGUUCAGCUCCUGGCCCAACUAUCCUCCACCUCCCCCGCAGUAGAGGUAAAAACCAUCCAGGGUUCUGACAUGGAUUGGUUUCUUUUACAUUUUUCUGUAUUUUUUAUUUGUUUGCGUGUUAUUUGUAUGUCCUCCUUGUGGGACUUGAAUUUGGAGUGGGAUGGUUGUAAUAUUCGUGCAUCAAGAUGGGGCAUUGCAUCGGCGGAUCUA